AUUCCAGCUCCAAUAGCGUAUAUUAAAGUUGUUGCAGUUAAAAAGCUCGUAGUUGAACUUUGGGCCUGGUCGGCCGGUCCGGAUUCUUCCGCGUACUGGUUUUUUCCGACCGGGCCUCUCCUUCUGGCUAGCCCUGGGUCCUUGUGGCCCUUGGUGAACCAGGACUUUUACUUUGAAAAAAUUAGAGUGUUCAAAGCAGGCGUAUUGCUCGAAUAUAUUAGCAUGGAAUAAUAGAAUAGGACGUUUGGUUCUAUUUUGUUGGUUUUCGGAAAUCGACUUAAUGAUUAAUAGGGACAGUCGGGGGCAUUUGUAUUCAAACGACAGAGGUGAAAUUCUUGGACCGUUUGAAGACAAACUACCGCGAAAGCAUUUGCCAAGAAUGUUUUCAUCA
rnacentral:rRNA from 1 species